rnacentral:rRNA from 1 species
AUUGAACGCUGGCGGCAGGCCUAACACAUGCAAGUCGAGCGAGCGGCGGACGGGUGAGUAAUGUAUGGGGAUCUGCCAGCUCGAGGGGGAUAACUACUGGAAACGGUGGCUAAUACCGCAUACUAUCGGAUGAACCCAUCUGGGAUUAGCUAGUAGGUGGGGUAAAGGCUCACCUAGGAGACGAUCUUUAGCUGGUAGGAGAGGAUGAUCAGCCACACUGGGACUGAGACACGGCCCAGACUCCUACGGGAGGCAGCAGUUGGUAAUAUUGCACAAUGGGCGCAAGCCUGACCCAGCAACGCCGCGUGAAGGAAGACGGUCUUCGGAUUGUAAACUUCUUUAGACAGUGACGCGGUACCUGGAGAAUAAGCCACGGCUAACUACGUGCCAGCAGCCGCGGUAAUUC